GUCGUAACAAGGUUUCCGUAGGUGAACCUGCGGAAGGAUCAUUAAUGAUUGACCCUCUGAGUCUUAUCUUAACAUCCCUCACCUCUGUGAACCGUUUGACCUCCGGGUCUUACAAAAACCAUAACAAACAUCAGUGUGAAGAACGUCUUGUUAUCUUAACAAAAACAAAACUUUCAACAACGGAUCUCUUGGCUCUCGCAUCGAUGAAGAACGCAGCGAAAUGAGAUAAGUAAUGUGAAUUGCAGAAUUCAGUGAAUCAUCGAAUCUUUGAACGCACCUUGCGCCUUUUGGUAUUCCGAAAGGCAUGCCUGUUUGAGUGUCAUGAAAUCUCAAUCCCAUCUGGUUUAUGACCGGGUGUUGGACUUGGACAUGGGCGUCUGCCGGUCGAACGGCUCGCCUCAAAUGACUUAGUGGGAUCGCUUGCAUCCGUGACAGACGUAAUAAGUUUCGUCUCGUCCCUUGCUCUGCGUACGCCUGCUCAGAACCAAGCUGUCUUUGCCUUCAUUGGCCCUGACACACUUCUUUUGACUCUGACCUCAAAUCAGGUAGGACUACCCGCUGAACUUAAGC
rnacentral:rRNA from 1 species